GCUGCUGGAGUAAACUAGCCCAAUAAUCUUUUCAGCCGUGCAGUGCAACAACGGCCCACGACCAUACACGUGAAGCGUGCGCCCAUGUCUGCAUGCAUGAAUCUAGGGAGGAGUGAGUCAUUUAAGAUCUGACACCUUAACGUGAGAGUAACUAUUACAAGGUUUUUUAUCUCUUCUUUCUCUUCUUUUGAUGCAUGCGUUGCUGCAUGCUAACACGUCACUUCUCUUUAUUUUCUCCUUCUCCUAUUUCUUUUAUUUUUAUUUCCCACGUUGUUUCUUUGGUUUUUUUUCUUUCUUUCGUGUGUUUAUCCGAUUCCUUUUUUUCUUUCUGAUACUUUUCCUUCUUGUCUUCCGUUUCUUUUUUCUUCCAUGUUUUUGUUUCUUUUUUAUCUUCUGUUCAUUUCCUUCUUUUGUCUUCCUUUUUCCCUUCUCAAGCCAAUGCGAUAUUUUUUCUUUUGUUUUGUUUUUAUUCCUUAUUUUUAGGUAGGUUAUUUUGUAUCCAAAUUAACUCUGUGAGUUCCUACAAGGUGCUUUAGAUAUAUUUCUUAUUCUUUCUAUAAUAACUUGUAGGCCAUUUAUAAAUAUUUGUGUUUGCCUAUCUGAUAUGAAUUGUUCAACCAUGUAGAUUCGUUAUUGUUAUAUGUCCAUAAUGCAUUUGUUUCUAGUGUAGAAUUUUUAUUCGUUGAGUUUACAUAAUUUGUUCUAUGUGCAUAAAUACUUGUUCUGUGUGUUCCAAUAAUUUGUUCAUGGUAUAUUGAUCUUUUGUUCCGUUAGUUCAUAUAAUUUGUAUAAUUUAUUCGAUACUAUUUUGUUCCACGAGUUUGUAUAAUUUAUUCGAUGUGUACAGUUAUUUUGUUCCAUGGGUUCAUAUAAUUUGUUCGGCAAUAUGUAUUUAUUUGUCCGUGAUAUUGAGUUGCUAUUGUUUGUACUGUACAACAAAUUAUGUGUGCUUUCAACUAUUUAUGUUCUGAGUGUAUUAUUAUUUUAUUCAUCAUGUUUAAAUUUAUUCGCAGAAAAUAAUCAGGAGGAGCCGACAUUAAUUAUUCAUAUUAAAAAAAUUUAAAUUAUCUUUCGAAACAUAAUCAAGUGGGGUCUUAUUUUGAAGGUAUUAUUGUAAGCAAUCUAUUGGUGUAAUCAAAAUUUAAUUUGGAUAUACGAUUUAAGAUCUAUAGAUUUUUUUUCAAAUUUCU
rnacentral:lncRNA from 1 species